rnacentral:rRNA from 1 species
AACUUCGGGAAACCGGAGCUAAUACCGGAUACGUUCUUUUCUCGCAUGAGAGAAGAUGGAAAGACGGUUUACGCUGUCACUUAUAGAUGGGCCCGCGGCGCAUUAGCUAGUUGGUGAGGUAAUGGCUCACCAAGGCGACGAUGCGUANCCGACCUGAGAGGGUGAUCGGCCACACUGGGACUGAGACACGGCCCAGACUCCUACGGGAGGCAGCAGUAGGGAAUCUUCCGCAAUGGACGAAAGUCUGACGGAGCAACGCCGCGUGAACGAAGAAGGCCUUCGGGUCGUAAAGUUCUGUUGUUAGGGAANAACAAGUACCAGAGUAACUGCUGGUACCUUGACGGUACCUAACCANAAAGCCACGGCUAACUACGUGCCAGCAGCCGCGGUAAUACGUAGGUGGCAAGCGUUGUCCGGAAUUAUUGGGCGUAAAGCGCGCGCAGGUGGUUCUUUAAGUCUGAUGUGAAAGCCCACGGCUCAACCGUGGAGGGUCAUUGGAAACUGGGGAACUUGAGUGCAGAAGAGGAAAGUGGAAUUCCAAGUGUAGCGGUGAAAUGCGUAGAGAUUUGGAGGAACACCAGUGGCGAAGGCGACUUUCUGGUCUGUAACUGACACUGAGGC